rnacentral:antisense_RNA from 1 species
AAAAGCAAAAAAAAAAGAAACCCCUAAAUACUAGGGGUUUCCGUCAUAUAUUACAUCAUGCCGUUCAUGUCAGGCAUUGCAGGACCUUUGUUUUCUUCUGGUUUGUCAGCAACAACUGCUUCAGUUGUUAAGAACAUAGCCGCAAC